rnacentral:rRNA from 1 species
CUGGCUCAGGAUGAACGCUAGCGGCAGGCUAACACAUGCAAGUCGAGGGGCAUCGGGAGUAGCAAUACUGCCGGCGACCGGCGCAAGGGUGCGUAACGCGUGAGCAACAUGCCCGUAUCAGGGGGAUAAUCCAUGGAAACGUGGUCUAAUACCCCAUAGUAAUUAUGUAAGGCAUCUUAUAUAAUUUAAAGCUUUGGUGGAUACGGAUUGGCUCGCGUGACAUUAGCUGGAUGGUAAGGUAACGGCUUACCAUGGCUACGAUGUCUAGGGGUUCUGAGAGGAAGGUCCCCCACACUGGAACUGAGACACGGUCCAGACUCCUACGGGAGGCAGCAGUGAGGAAUAUUGGACAAUGGAUGGAAAUCUGAUCCAGCCAUGCCGCGUGCAGGAAGACGGCCCUAUGGGUUGUAAACUGCUUUUGUAUGGGAGCAAUAAGGGCUACGUGUAGUCCGAUGAGAGUACCAUACGAAUAAGCACCGGCUAACUCCGUGCCAGCCGCCGC